rnacentral:rRNA from 1 species
UACGAAGGGGACUAGCGUUGUUCGGAAUCACUGGGCGUAAAGCGCACGUAGGCGGCUUAGCAAGUCCCAUGUGAAAGCCCACGGCUUAACCGUGGAAGUGCAUGGGAAACUGCUGAGCUUGAGUACUUAAGAGGAUCGCGGAAUUCCCGGUGUAGAGGUGAAAUUCGUAGAUAUCGGGAGGAACACCGGUGGCGAAGGCGGCGACCUGGGUAGAUACUGACGCUGAGGUGCGAAAGCGUGGG